rnacentral:rRNA from 1 species
UACAGAGGUCUCAAGCGUUGUUCGGAUUCAUUGGGCGUAAAGGGUUCGUAGGCGGCGCGGUAAGUCGGGUGUGAAAUCUCGGGGCUUAACUCCGAAACUGCAUUCGAUACUGCCGUGCUUGAGGACUGGAGAGGAGACUGGAAUUUACGGUGUAGCGGUGAAAUGCGUAGAUAUCGUAGGGAAGACCAGUGGCGAAGGCGGGUCUCUGGACAGUUUCUGACGCUGAGGCACGAAGGUCAGGGGAGCAAACGGG